rnacentral:rRNA from 1 species
AAUAUUGGACAAUGGGCGAAAGCCUGAUCCAGCAAUGCCGCGUGUGUGAAGAAGGCCUGCGGGUGUAAAGCACUUUCAGCAGGGAAGAAACGCCGGGGAUUAAUACUCUCGCGGUUCUGACGUUACUUGCACAAGAAGCACCGGCUAACUCCGUGCCAGCAGCCGCGGUAAUACGGAGGGUGCGAGCGUUAAUCGGAAUUACUGGGCGUAAAGCGCGCGUAGGCGGUUGGGUAAGUCAGAUGUGAAAUCCCCGGGCUUAACCUGGGAAUUGCAUUUGAUACUGCCCGACUAGAGUAUGGGAGAGGGAAGUGGAAUCUCCGGUGUAGCGGUGAAAUGCGUAGAGAUCGGAGGGAACACCAGUGGCGAAGGCGGCUUCCUGGCCCAAUACUGACGCUCAGGCGCGAAAGCGUGGGGAGCAAACAGGAUUAGAUACCCUGGUAGUCCACGCCGUA